rnacentral:lncRNA from 1 species
UCGUGGUCACUAGGCGAAACGGCCGGUGCUUCAAUAGAGGACACCCCCACCACUGAAAUUUUCAGCGAGUUUGAAGACCCGUAUAUAAGAUUGUGCGUCAGAGUCACGGGUCAGAGUGUCAAAUUCGUCGGCUGAUGAAGAUAGAAAUUCUCAUUGGAGCACCCAAGGCGCGGGGGCAACGGCAGCGGCCUAUACUUACCGACUCACUAAUGAGCGGCUCGCCAAAGAUUCCCCUUAAGAAACAAUUAUACGGUACGUUGUACGGGUCGCAGGCCGAUGUACACGUCAGUAUUCAACCGGCUAUCUUGGGCAAUCUUCAAUCAUCCUCUUUGUGGGCAACGUUACAGACAAUAAUAGUCUGGAGUACAACAGCGCACGCGUGAUCAAAAGCAUUAGAUAUAUUAACCCUUUGCUCCCUUUAUAUUUUCCCGCUCUUUCUGAUCGAACGACGAUCUCGCCAGAAAAAAUAUCUGGAUUACUCCAGGAAUAUAAGCUCCAUGAAUACGACCGGUUAAAAAGUUGCGCUACACGUGGACAUAUAGUACAUACAAUGAAGAGGAUAAGAUAAUUUAUGCUAACGGAAUAUUGACUUGAAUACAAUUCUCAGUAGAUAAUUGUUAUUGAUUGAAACAAUCUUCCCUACGACCAUUGAAGCGUUUAUGAUGUUAGGGUUCAACACCUUAUGUUUUCAGUGUUGUUGAAGUUAGUUUUUUCACUACACUGAAAGGAAGAAAGUGUCCAACCCAAGAACACAUAGGUAUGUUUUAUUAUUUAUUCUCUCUGCCAGUGCAUUGAUAAAUAAUGGUGUUCGUUUUCCGAAAUUGUUAAAUCGGGGCCCACAUUAUUUGACAAGUACAUGCAUUUUUUAUAUCUCUUCAUACAAUAGAUUAAUGUUCAGUAACUCCAUGUGGUUAGAUCCUCAUUUGACACAGAUUGUAUUAAUUGUUGCGGAUGUUAGAAAUUUACUAAAAAAUACUAGGUAACCAUUAACAAUCGAUUUUUAUUAAAAUUUAUUGUCCAUAUUAUAGAUCGGGUAGAAUAUUUAUUGGUAAAUCAAGAAACAGGGUGACGCGGUAUGAAGAUGUUUUUUAGAAUUCCAAAAAACCACUGCAAUAGCAAUUUACUAUGAUAAAUAUACUUUGAAUUGUCCACUGUUUUCGUGAUGCUAAAUACGGAUCGGGUACCUACAUGCGUAUGGAGUCGAAAAUUACUUCGAACAGUUUAUUUUGGAUAAGUGUUAUUUCCGUAGUAACGGCUGCGAUUAUUUAUUGCAUAUCUUUUCUAAAAAGUUUUUUAACAUGCUGACCUUUCACGCGAUUGCUUGAAGAUACCGUAUUUUUUCUACAUACAACCGUGCACGCUUAACGCUGUAACCUUCAGCUGUUUAUAUGCCUUUACCUUCAAAUGGAGAGCUUACAGAAGCGUUGAAAAAAAUAUGCGCGAUUGCAAACGAAGAAAGAAUUUUAGAAUGUAGACAAUAAGACGAGGGUAUUUACAAAUAAUGGUGGCAACAAAUUUUACAAAAUUUUAACAAAUUUAUUCAUCGACAUGACGUAAAAAUGUAGUUAUAGAUUGAGAAAAUUGUUAGCCUAUUUCAUUGUUCGGUGACCAAUUGUAGCACACAGGUAAUAAAACUUGGUCAUUUCAACGACGCUACAAUGGCAUUUCUAAUCAUAAAUGAUUUAUGCAUCAGGCCUCAGUAGACGUGUUGAGCUUGGGACAUUUAUUACACCAGUUAGUAGCUCAAGGUUUAAUCAGUUGCAUCCUCUUUAGCAACUGCAAACGGCUCUUCGAUAGUUUCAGCACCAGAAUCAGCUAUCUUCACUUCCUUAGAUGGUUUGUCACGACUGUCCGUACUCAAGUUCUCGAUUUUCCUCACGACAU